CCUAGGGGUGGCAGCAGUGGGGAAUAUUGGACAAUGGGCGAAAGCCUGAUCCAGCCAUGCCGCGUGUGUGAAGAAGGCCUUCGGGUUGUAAAGCACUUUCAGUGGGGAAGAAAGCCUUGGGGCUAAUACCCUCGAGGAAGGACAUCACCCACAGAAGAAGCACCGGCUAACUCCGUGCCAGCAGCCGCGGUAAUACGGAGGGUGCGAGCGUUAAUUGGAAUUACUGGGCGUAAAGCGCGCGUAGGCGGUCUGAUAAGCCGGUUGUGAAAGCCCCGGGCUCAACCUGGGAACGGCCUCCGGAACUGUCAGGCUAGAGUGCAGGAGAGGAAGGUAGAAUUCCCGGUGUAGCGGUGAAAUGCGUAGAGAUCGGGAGGAAUACCAGUGGCGAAGGCGGCCUUCUGGACUGACACUGACGCUGAGGUGCGAAAGCGUGGGUAGCAAACAGGAUUAGAUACCCUGGUAGU
rnacentral:rRNA from 1 species